GUCGAACGGUAGAGGGGGCAACCCCUCGAGAGUGGCGAACGGGUGAGUAAUAUAUCGGAACGUGCCCAGUCGUGGGGGAUAACGUAGCGAAAGUUACGCUAAUACCGCAUACGAUCUACGGAUGAAAGCGGGGGACUCGCAAGAGCCUCGCGCGAUUGGAGCGGCCGAUAUCAGAUUAGGUAGUUGGUGGGGUAAAGGCUCACCAAGCCAACGAUCUGUAGCUGGUCUGAGAGGACGACCAGCCACACUGGAACUGAGACACGGUCCAGACUCCUACGGGAGGCAGCAGUGGGGAAUUUUGGACAAUGGACGCAAGUCUGAUCCAGCCAUUCCGCGUGCAGGAUGAAGGCCCUCGGGUUGUAAACUGCUUUUGUACGGAACGAAAAGGUUUCUAUUAAUACUAGGAGCUCAUGACGGUACCGUAAGAAUAAGCACCGGCUAACUACGUGCCAGCAGCCGCGGUAAUACGUAGGGUGCAAGCGUUAAUCGGAAUUACUGGGCGUAAAGCGUGCGCAGGCGGUUAUGUAAGACAGAGGUGAAAUCCCCGGGCUCAACCUGGGAACUGCCUUUGUGACUGCAUAGCUAGAGUACGGUAGAGGGGGAUGGAAUUCCGCGUGUAGCAGUGAAAUGCGUAGAUAUGCGGAGGAACACCGAUGGCGAAGGCAAUCCCCUGGACCUGUACUGACGCUCAUGCACGAAAGCGUGGGGAGCAAACAGGAUUAGAUACCCUGGUAGUCCACGCCCUAAACG
rnacentral:rRNA from 1 species